rnacentral:rRNA from 1 species
AGUGAACGCUGGCGGUAGGCCUAACACAUGCAAGUCGAACGGCAGCACAGUAAGAGCUUGCUCUUACGGGUGGCGAGUGGCGGACGGGUGAGGAAUACAUCGGAAUCUACUUUUUCGUGGGGGAUAACGUAGGGAAACUUACGCUAAUACCGCAUACGUCCUACGGGUGAAAGCAGGGGAUCUUCGGACCUUUCCCGAUUGAACGAGCCGAUGUCGGAUUAGCUAGUUGGCGGGGUAAAGGCCCACCAAGGCGACGAUCCGUAGCUGGUCUGAGAGGAUGAUCAGCCACACUGGAACUGAGGCACGGUCCAGACUCCUACGGGAGGCAGCAGUGGGGAAUAUUGGACAAUGGGCGCAAGCCUGAUCCAGCCAUACCGCGUGGGUGAAGAAGGCCUUCGGGUUGUAAAGCCCUUUUGUUGGGAAAGAAAAGCAGCAGGUUAAUACCCCGCUGUUCUGACGGUACCCAAAGAAUAAGCACCGGCUAACUUCGUG